UACGUAGGGUGCGAGCGUUGUCCGGAAUUACUGGGCGUAAAGAGCUCGUAGGCGGUCUGUCGCGUCGGUCGUGAAAACUUGGGGCUUAACCCUGAGCUUGCGGUCGAUACGGGCAUGACUGGAGUUCGGCAGGGGAGAGUGGAAUUCCUGGUGUAGCGGUGAAAUGCGCAGAUAUCAGGAAGAACACCAAUGGCGAAGGCAGCUCUCUGGGACGGUACUGACGCUGAGACGCGAAAGCGUGGGGAGCGAACAGG
rnacentral:rRNA from 1 species